rnacentral:tRNA from 1 species
GGGGAUAGCUCAAGUGGUAGAGCGUAUGCUUAGCAUGCAGAAGUUCCUGGGUUCAAUCCCUAGCAUCUCCU